rnacentral:rRNA from 1 species
UUCAAAGCGUAACAAGGUUUCCGUAGGUGAACCUGCGGAAGGAUCAUUACAGAAUGAAAAGUGCUUAACUGCAUUUUUUCUUACACAUGUGUUUUUCUUUUUUUGAAAACUUUGCUUUGGUAGGCCUUCUAUAUGGGGCCUGCCAGAGAUUAAACUCAACCAAAUUUUAUUUAAUGUCAACCGAUUAUUUAAUAGUCAAAACUUUCAACAACGGAUCUCUUGGUUCUCGCAUCGAUGAAGAACGCAGCGAAAUGCGAUAAGUAAUAUGAAUUGCAGAUAUUCGUGAAUCAUCGAAUCUUUGAACGCACAUUGCGCCCUUUGGUAUUCCAAAGGGCAUGCCUGUUUGAGCGUCAUUUCUCCCUCAAACCCUCGGGUUUGGUGUUGAGCGAUACGCUGGGUUUGCUUGAAAGAAAGGCGGAGUAUAAACUAAUGGAUAGGUUUUUUCCACUCAUUGGUACAAACUCCAAAACUUCUUCCAAAUUCGACCUCAAAUCAGGUAGGACUACCCGCUGAACUUAAGCAUAUCAAAAGGGGGGGAAAAAA